AUUGAACGCUGGCGGCGUGCCUAACACAUGCAAGUCGAGCGGUAACAGGUGUAGCAAUACAUGCUGACGAGCGGCGAACGGGUGAGUAAUGCUUUGGAAUCUUCCCAGUAGUGGGGAAUAACCAGUCGAAAGAUUGGCUAAUACCGCAUACGUCUGUAAAGGGAAAGCGGGGGACUCGCCUCUUCUUCGGAAGAGAGGCCUCGCGCUAUUGGAUGAGCCAAAGCGGAUUAGCUAGUUGGUGGGGUAAUGGCCUACCAAGGCGACAAUCCGUAGCUGGUCUGAGAGGACGACCAGCCACACCGGAACUGAGACACGGUCCGGACUCCUACGGAA
rnacentral:rRNA from 1 species